rnacentral:rRNA from 1 species
UACGGAGGGUGCGAGCGUUGUCCGGAAUUAUUGGGUUUAAAGGGUGCGUAGGUGGCCGAAUAAGUCAGUGGUGAAAUUCAUGGGCUCAACCCGUGGCGUGCCAUUGAUACUGUUCGGCUUGAGUAUCGUAGGGGUAGGCGGAAUUUGUGGUGUAGCGGUGAAAUGCAUAGAUACCACAAGGAACACCGGAGGCGAAGGCGGCCUACUGGACGAUUACUGACACUGAGGCACGAAAGCAUGGGUAGCGAAC